GACGAACGCUGGCGGCGUGCCUAAUACAUGCAAGUCGAACGCUGAAGGAGGAGCUUGCUCUUCUGGAUGAGUUGCGAACGGGUGAGUAACGCGUAGGUAACCUGCCUGGUAGCGGGGGAUAACUAUUGGAAACGAUAGCUAAUACCGCAUAACAGUAGAUGUUGCAUGACAUUUACUUAAAAGGUGCAAUUGCAUCACUACCAGAUGGACCUGCGUUGUAUUAGCUAGUUGGUGGGGUAACGGCUCACCAAGGCGACGAUACAUAGCCGACCUGAGAGGGGGAUCGGCCACACUGGGACUGAGACACGGCCCAGACUCCUACGGGAGGCAGCAGUAGGGAAUCUUCGGCAAUGGACGGAAGUCUGACCGAGCAACGCCGCGUGAGUGAAGAAGGUUUUCGGAUCGUAAAGCUCUGUUGUAAGAGAAGAACGAGUGUGAGAGUGGAAAGUUCACACUGUGACGGUAGCUUACCAGAAAGGGACGGCUAACUACGUG
rnacentral:rRNA from 1 species